UGCGCGGUUUUGGCGGGCACGCCCCUUCAGCGCUAAGCCCCGCCCUUCUUCUCGCUCCCCUCAGGCCGCCAUGAUGGCGGCGGCGGCCCCGCGGCUUGGGCCGCUGAUUUGCGCCCUGAGGGUUCAGAGGUGUCGGGGUCCCGUGUGGGGCUGCGGAGCUUCGGCCGUGAGGGGAGCGGCGACCGGCGCGGGGCAGCCUCCACCCCCGACCCCUCCAGAAAUUCCAGAACCGGCGGAAAUUUUGGAAAAUUCCCCAAAUUUGGGGGAGCCCCGAUUGGAGGAACUGGGCCUGGGGGGUUCCAGCCCCGUUGGAAUGAUCCAGAACCUUCUGGAAUUUCUUCACAUGGACCUGGGGCUGCCCUGGUGGGGCGCAAUCGCCACAGGCACGGUGGGAGCCCGGAUCCUUUUGCUGCCCCUGGUGCUGCGUGGUCAGCGCGAGGCCGCCCGACUCUCCCUGCACCUCCCGCAGCUCCAGCGCCUCUCCCAGCGCGUGGCCGAGGCCCGACGGGGGUCAGACCCCAACCAAGUGGCCGUGGCUUACUCGGAACUUGUUUCGUACCAGCGGCGCCACGACGUCAAUCCCCUCCGAGGAUUCCUGGUUCCCCUCGUGCAGACCCCUCUGUUUGUGUCGUUUUUCCUGGCGCUGCAGGGGAUGGCGGCGGCGCCGGUGCCGGGGCUGCUCCGGGGAGGACUGGGCUGGUUCCCGGAUUUGGCCGCUCCCGACCCCUUCUACGUCCUGCCCGUGCUGGUCACAGCCUCCACCUGGCUCGUGCUCGAGCUGGGGGCGGAGACGGGCGUGUCGGCGCCGGGGGCGGGGCCUGUCCGUCAAAUCCUGAGGCUCCUCCCACUUUUCUUCCUCCCCUUCAUCCUCCACUUCCCCACCGCGGUCUUCACCUAUUGGCUGACGUCGAACAGCUUCAGCCUAUUGCAGACGGGGCUGCUGCGAGUCCCCGCCCUUCGCGCCAAAUUGGGCGUGGCCCCGCCCCCUUUGGUUAAAGCCACGCCCACUUCCGGACAAGCCACGCCCACUCCCGAUCAGGCCACGCCCACCCUGGGUCAGGCCACGCCCCCCGGCCACGCCCCCCAAGCCAAGACCGGGAUCCUGCAGCAGCUGAGGAAAGAGUGAUUUUGGGGUUCCCCUUCCCCAAAAUUUCCAGAGUGGCGCGAGGCCCAGGCCACGCACGAGGCCGAGCGGCGCCAGUGGCGCCUCAGGAACCACCUCCAGCUGGCGGCCAAAGGUCCGCUCCGCCAAACUUUCGCCCAAAACCCCCUAAACCCCCCCAAAACGGCGCCCUCAGAACCCCCAAAAAGACCCUGGAAGGACACGCUGGGCUGAGGGGGGGUGGGGACCACCCCAAAAAUAAAAAACGCGCGAAACGAGA